UUAUUAAUGGAGUAGCAAAUGAGAAAAUCCUCUUUCUCUCCCCUUCUUAGUUCUCUCUAGAGUUCAUUCUGCUACUUUGGGACAAUUUUGCGAAAGAAGGAGGCAGUCUCAUCAGUUCAUGUGGCCUUAUGCCUGGUAAGGAGAACAACAACAAAAUCGCUGCCUCACAGAGGCCAUUGUGGCCUUCACCUGAUCUUCUCCUACAAGGAGGUGAUAACUUUGCUAAAGAUGAUCAGUGAUGAUGUAACUGCAAAUUAAGUCUCUGCCCUUCAAGCCUUGGUUCAUUAACUUCAGCAGUGAAUGGACUCCUUAAGAGUCCCCUAUUUCAGGAUUGAGAUGAAGAGACCGCAUCCCUCCUCAAGUCCCUGCAAGCUGAGAAUGCUUCUCUGUAAGACAAGCUGUGGGAUCAAGAAAGGAGAUACUGUGGAAACAACCUGGACGUUGUUGAGGUUUAUGAUAGGGCCAAACGAGGGAGUUGCUGUUUGUGGCAACUCUAUUAUGAUAAUCGCUCUCCCUUCCAGAGGACUGCUCUGGACACUGAAUGUGCUCACUAGAGCCCACUUCCCAUGAUGAGAAGUGAUGGCCCUAAUCCGUAAGCAGCCCGUCUACCUAUAAUUUAUUGACGCCCACAGAAGAAGAUACAACCACUAAAAAUUUCUGCAGGAAUACAAUGGUGCAUCUUUGGGGAGAUUCCAAAUCUGCAAUACUUACCGGGAGGAAACGUGGCAUGCUCCCUCAAAGCUCCCUAUACCCCUUUUUGCCAAUUUCCCUCGCUUUUCCGGAACAGAGGCACUGGCCUUAGAAAGGAUGAGGCGCGGUAUUUAGAAUGAUUUGGCCCAGACCCAGAAAGGAGGAAGUGAGUGAGAAGCAAGAGAAAGUUGCAUGGAAGCAGCUUUUUAUGUUGGAAGGCGUUAGUGAUUGUGGGUCUUGCUGUUGGUGGAUGCGUGUACGCUUUUUGGGGGACCCCACAGCGGCGUAGCUAGCCCCAUGUUAAGUGCUCCACCCUUGGUGUGGCACCCCACGACACCUCUGGGACCCCAGGCCUAGGUCAGAAACUAUGGAGUGUCAAAGGUGUCAACAGAUUAUCACAGAACACCUUUCCACAAAGAAGCAGGAAUCAGUUGUAGGUCCUGUCAUGCUCCUUUUCAGCUGCCUGUUAUAAAACAAAACCCCGGUGGAAGUGCUGACAGUAAAAAAGUUGAAUAUGGAGGGGAGGAGGGCAACCUAUGAAGAAAUCUUAAUGAGAACAGAGGAAGGAUGGAAACUGAAACCCUAUAAUUGUAUAGAGAAUGCAUUUACGGGAUGGUUACAAUAUCAAGUGAAUGAUAAAGGGGGUAAUAAAGUGGGAUUCAGUGAAAAGAAGUCAAGAUAUCAAAUCAAAAUAGUAGAGGGCAGGUCAAAACUUAUCGAAAAUGUAUGUUUUUUUUAUUGGAAUGGAACACAAAAGAUGAAUUGACAAAAGAGGUAAUGAUAAAAUGGGCAAUUGAUUUUGGGUAUAAUAUUGAAUAUGACACUUGGGCAAAACUGUGGAACGAGGGCUUGAAAUUCACGGCGUGUACUACCCUAAAAGAAAACAUAAUGCAAAGGCUGUACCGCUGGUAUAUUAUAUCUGUCAAGCUAGCAAAAAUGUACAGAGUGAGCACUAAAGCAUGCUGAAAAUGUAAAAUGAAAGCUGGAGAGUUUUUUCACAUGUGGUGGACAUGUGAAAAAAUGAAAAAAAAAAUAGAUAUGAUUUAUAACGAAUUGAAAAAAAUAUUUAAAUAUACCUUCCCCAAAAAACCAGAAGCUUUUUUGCUGGGGUUGAUAGGCGGUGAAUUAAGAAAAGCAGACCACAGACUAUUUAUGUACUCUACAAUUGCUGCCAGAAUCUUAGUAGCCCCAAAAUGAAAAACUCAGGAAAUACCAACACUAAUGGAGUGGCAGACCAAAAUGGUUGAAUAUAUAGAAUUAGCAAAACUGACCCACAGGAUCCGUAACCAAGAGGAAACAAAGUUCAAAAAGGAAUGGAGUAUAUUUGUAAAAUAUAUAGGUAAUAACUGUAGAAGUUUAAAGACCGUAGCAGGAUUAAAAUAAAUCUUGUGAUGUGGAUAGAAUGCAACUAAGAACCUGUGAAAGAGAAAAUUUAAUAUAAAAGCCUGUUGAAGGGAAGGAGAGAAGUCUGCGCGCGAUAGAGUGUGUAGAAAAUAAGUAGACACAUGAUUGUUGAACUUUAGAGUAUUUAUUUUGUUUGUAUAUGUUAUAGAAAACUCAAUAAAAAGUAUUUGAUAAAUAAAUAAAACCCAUUUCUCAUGGAAAGGGUCUUUUUUGUUGGGCUCUGUGGCGUUUGUACGGAGCCCCCAGUCGUCUCACGGACUAUUCACCUGUACACCACUAAUCCACUGCCACCAACCUGGUCCUCCCUGGUAAAUCACUUGGUCUCAGUCAGGUUCUUAAGUUCAUAAUGAAGAUUGUGGUUUAUUGCAAACACAAAUAAACUUUAAAUACAUUUGAAACGCUGUUACCCUUUUCCCUCUUAGUCUUAUUUUAUUCUGUCUCUAACUCUUCUACCUCCCCUCACACAAGAACCAACUCCACUAACUGUCUAUUUCCAUCUAUCUGCCAACUGCUUUCCCAACUGCCUUUUCCCAACCAACCAACCGACCAGCUAUUAACUCUUUCUCUCCCCCUGUACAGACAUUUUCAAAAGAAUGGGCAAGCAUCCCUCCCCCCUUAAAGAAGUUUGAUCAGGAGGGAUAACUGAACAGAGUUACACUCCUGAUCAAACUGCAUUAGACAAUUAAAGCAAAUAAACAUAUUUAUACUUAGGUUAUACAUUUAACUUCCUAUAUUCUCUAGUACAACAAUUGCCUAUUGGUAAAACAUGUGGGAAUGUUUAGGGAUGCGGGGGAGGAUAUAUUGUCUAAGAUGUCCUAUCCCAACUUGUCUUUACAAGUUCAACAAAAUCAGCAGAGUUAACAUUCUCCUUUUCUUAAACACACGAACAGCAGAUAGCUUUCUCAGACUCAUUAGAGUCUCUGUAAAUAUUUCCUGGUAUUUCCCCCAUUUAAUCCCUCCUAAAAUAAGAUGCUACACAGUCUUCUGUAAAGUAUAAAACAUUUACUCACAAGUAAUCAUCUGUUCACACAAAGGUACCCAGAAGGGAGACUUAAAAGGUUAGAACGUAGUUUAAAUGUGGUGACUAUCUCCUUAUGGGAGAAAGCCCCCCUUUUCUUCUCUUGGCCUGGAGCCAAGGGUGCAUCUUAGUAGUGCUGUUGUUAAGAUGGCAUCAAGAGGGGCAAGAUGGUCGCCAGUCUGUGAUUCUGGUUCUUUCUACUUCAAGAGAGACCACGCCCAUCUCAAGUUACACAUAGAAAGUUUCUUCUUAGUCCUGGAAAGCAGGAAGUUCCAGCUGGAGGACCGAGACAACUUUCAUUUCUACUCUAGCAAUGUUGUGUUUGGCUGCACCUGAUUCUAACAUCCCACAAAACAUUCAAUUAUACAGAGGUUUUGGUACAUUCUAGGCAACUCGGUUAUCUACAGGGAAAAAUAUUAACCGUCUAUGGUUAACCUUCAUUAUUGGAUCUUCUUGAUAAAGCAUCGGCCACAAUGUUCAGGGACCCUUUCACAUUUCUUAUGGUGAAAUUGAAGUUCAGCAGCAACAGGGCCCACCUCAUCAGUUUGCUAUUAGUGCUCAUCGUCCUUAACCAAAGCAAGGGUGAAUGAUCGGUGCACAGUAUAAAUUUCUGGCCCCAGAUGUAUGGCUUCAACUUCUGUAGGGACCAGACGAUAGCAAAACAUUCCUUUUCUAUCGUGGAAAGUUGUUUCUCUCUGGGUAGCAAUUUCUUGCUGACAUAUUUGUUGAAUUAAUUGGAGGAUCUCACUGUCAGGGGGGAGGGUAGAACAGAUUCUUGGUUUGGCAAGUACAGAUUUGGAAGGUUUGCGUUGAACAACCUGAUUAGAUUGCCCCCUCCAUCCUUUCUUCUGGAAGUCACUUACUAGAUCGGAUUCCAGAAGCAGAGCUAUCCCUCACAGGCUGAGCUGUUGAUGCAAUCCAGGCAAAAAUACCAGGCAAAAACGCAUAUAACUGGAGGCAAGACACUAAGCACAGCCAUCUGACCACCUGAGAUCCUUGUCUAUCCUGCAGUGGGGUUUGGAUAGGAGACGCCCCGGGUAGACCCUAAUGACGGCGACACUUUGGCAUUGGAUUUGUCUUGCUGUGAAUGUUGACUCCAUCUAAUAAAGUUAUUUCUGAAAAAUAAAGAAAUGAAAUUGGUGAAAUG